rnacentral:rRNA from 1 species
ACGGAAGGUCCGAGCGUUAUCCGGAUUUAUUGGGUUUAAAGGGAGCGUAGGCCGGAGAUUAAGCGUGUUGUGAAAUGUAGAUGCUCAACAUCUGCACUGCAGCGCGAACUGGUUUCCUUGAGUACGCACAAAGUGGGCGGAAUUCGUGGUGUAGCGGUGAAAUGCUUAGAUAUCACGAAGAACUCCGAUUGCGAAGGCAGCUCACUGGAGCGCAACUGACGCUGAAGCUCGAAAGUGCGGGUAUCGAACAG